UACGGAGGGGGCGAGCGUUAUUCGGAAUCAUUGGGCGUAAAGGGCGCGUAGGCGGCCCCGUAAGUCUUGGGUGAAAGCCCUCGGCUCAACCGAGGAAUUGCCUUGGAUACUGCGGGGCUCGAGGCUGGAAGAGGACAGUGGAAUUCCCGGUGUAGCGGUGAAAUGCGUAGAUAUCGGGAGGAACGCCAGUGGCGAAGGCGGCUGUCUGGGCCAGUUCUGACGCUGAGGCGCGAAAGCGUGGGGAGCAAACAGG
rnacentral:rRNA from 1 species